UACAGGGGGUGCAAGCGUUGCUCGGAAUCACUGGGCGUAAAGCGUACGCAGGCGGACCGUUAAGUCGGGUGUGAAAGCCCGGGGCUCAACCCCGGAACUGCAUUCGAUACUGGCGGUCUUGAAUACGGGAGAGGUGAGUGGAAUUCCUGGUGUAGCGGUGAAAUGCGCAGAUAUCAGGAAGAACACCCGUGGCGAAGGCGGCUCUCUGGGACGGUACUGACGCUGAGACGCGAAAGCGUGGGGAGCGAACAGG
rnacentral:rRNA from 1 species